rnacentral:rRNA from 1 species
CAGCAGCCGGGGAAUACGUAGGUGGCAAGCGUUGUCCGGAAUUAUUGGGCGUAAAGGGCUCGCAGGCGGUUUCUUAAGUCUGAUGUGAAAGCCACCGGCUUAACCGGGGAGGGUCAUUGGAAACUGGGAAACUUGAGUGCAGAAGAGGAGAGUGGAAUUCCACGUGUAGCGGUGAAAUGCGUAGAGAUGUGGAGGAACACCAGUGGCGAAGGCGACUCUCUGGUCUGUAACUGACGCUGGGGAGCGAAAGCGUGGGGAGCGAACAGGAUUAGAUACCCCCGUAGUCCCUGUCUCUUAUACC